rnacentral:misc_RNA from 1 species
UGUGCAUUGUGACUGGUAAGUUAUUCAAUCUUUUACAUCUAUAACUUUAUGGAAUUUUUAGUUGUAAAAUUAUUUGACAUUUCUAUAUUUCAUUGAUGUUGUUAGGGAGUUGUUUCUGUUGUUUCCUGUCUUUGCUCUAAUACUCUCCCUACCGUUUACUAUCUUCUACCUUUAUUAGAUAUUAACUGUGUUGCUGAUGUAGUGUGAGAUUGGCAGAAUUCCAUUAACUCUGAUCAACAUUUCAUAUCCAUAUUUGUAGGAUGACGUGGCCUUAUCAUUCUGUUCACUAAUAUUCACCUUUUGAUGCUAAAUUUCUUAUUUAUCA